GUGGGGCAUAAGAGUAAGAGCAUCUACAUCUUUCGGGGGUAAAUUAGGGAAAGUUCUAUAAGAAAUCGCAUUUAGGCUAAGCCAUAAGUGAUGACUAGGAGUCUUCUUGCAGGACCAAUGAGAGUGAGAGUAUUCCAAGAAGAAGGAAAUAUCAUGAAAUGUGGAGAGGUGAGAGGACAGGGAAGGAGAUUCCCUGGGGAGGCAGAUCAUCAGUGAAUAAAUCAUCCUUCUCAUUUAUAAAUUGGUCUCCCGUAUCCCUGAUUAUCAAGAAUCAGUCUCCUAAAAUAUGAUCACUCCUCCUUGGAAGGAUAAAAAUUGAGCUUCUCCGCCAUGAAAGCUGAGGACAGAAUUUGGAUCCUGAUGACUUCAUCAAGAGAGUUUCUUAACAUGUUACAUUUCUUACCAUAAUCCAUGUCUUGGGUAAUCAGUAAAUUAAGAAAACUGACCAAUGUCUUGUAAAAGCUAGCAUCUGCUUUCUUAUGCUUAAUUAUACUUGGGAAACCCAUGUUGGAUAAAAUAUUCUCCAUUUGCCAAAAUGUUAAAAUGCCAUUAUCAUUUCUAUUACACUUUAUUGCACUAGAUCCGAGUGAUAAACACUUUGACAACAGCACUUAAUGACUUGCCUUUCCUAUAGGGUAAUGAUAAAAAUGCUUGGUUUUUUUGUUUUGCUUUUCUUCUUUUCUUUUUUUCUGCCAGCAGUAAAGCUUCCAUCUGUCAUUCUUUUCUCUAUACUGAAGCCAUGCUGCUCUUGGCAUGGGUCACAUUUGUAAAUGUUUCAUUUAUGAACCAUUCCUCCUCCUGACUCCUCUGCGUUACAGAAAUAUGCCGCAAAAGAUCAGCUGUCUUGCAGUUUAUGUGCCUCUAAAUCUGGCACUGCAUUUGCUCUGUCACUUCCUCAAUAGUUUCCAGUAGGAAGUUGUCCUACAUAAUUCUCAUGACUUUAUUUAUCAAAUAAUUAUGCUAAAAGCUGUUUAAUGGCUAAGUGAUAUGACAACUGGUUGUCGUAAUAUUUUAUUUGUCUUCGUAUUUUUCCUGCCCAUUUCUCUCCUUAUAGACUAUUCUGUUCCACAGGCAGUAUUACUUACCAAAAUCCUCAGUACAAUUCAGUUUAGAAUUCAGAAGACAACACACAUUCUUUAGGCAGUCAAUGAUGUUGAAAUUAUUGUGAAAGGGUUAGAAAGUUAUAUUUUUAUUUAAAUUAUUCUUGUGAAUAUCUCUCCAGAAUGUGUUUUUGUGUGAACAGAUUAUCGAGUUUCAUGACCUGACAACCAUGUUUUAUAAGCAUCUGACUGUGAAAUCUAAAUGUUUGUGAACAAUUUAGUUAGCUGCUUUAGAGAAGAAUCUUCAACAUUGGCAAUUUGGCUUCACCUUUUUUAGAGCCUAAAGGAGCUAGAGUAUGGAUAAUAUUUCUGAAAUCAGCUAGAGAGAGGGGAUAGAGGAGUCAAGAAAAAAAUAGCAUUGUCUUUAGAUAUCUCUUGAGGAUUUUUCCAGUGGAUCAUUUAACAAGGGAGGCUCAAAGGGCAAAGAAGAGACAGUCAUGACCCAUGACUCAAUAAGCAAACUUUUGUUUGUUACUCUUAGUUUUACAUACUAAGCCUUGCUACCCUGGAAGAGUGGCUAACAAGAUCAGAGUCUGUUGAGAGCCAGGUUGGGGUGGAUACUAAGGCUUAGAGAAUUACUUUGUUUAAGGCAGAGCAACUCCCAACAAUCGGUAGCAUAAGAAUUACGAUUUGGCCAAAUUUACACAAGCAUACAAUACUACAGCCAAGUAUAGAACCCAGGAAGUAAAUGGAAGAUAUAAUCUAAACAUAGGGUAAUUUCCUUGGACCUGACAAAAGUUGGAGUUUUAGCAAUUAUCUUUCAUUAUGUUUCUGUGAGGAAUUGCUUAUGUGGUGUGAUUUUAGAUAUGCCAUGAAGGAGUCCCAAGUCACUGUCGCCUGAAGGGUGCUGUAAUCAAUUCAGAUUUAACUUGGAUAAAUAAAUAAAUGGUGCAGGAAGGGAGGUAUAAAAACAGUGAUUUGAGUGCAUAUGAAACCUUGAGUUUCAUAAUAUUCUUCCAAAAAAAAAAGGAAAGCUUACAAAGCCCAUGGAAGACAAAUGAGAAAUGUAAGAAAUGAAAGAACUAGAAAGCUGAGAAGCAUCUCUGAUAAUAUGUAAGCAAUGGGGAGCGGGUUCAAUGGUUUGGGCUA